rnacentral:lncRNA from 1 species
GCAGAGUCAGAGGUGACCCAUAAACUAGCCCUCCUCACAAGGCACAUCCUGGGAAAUCUAUCACCAUCACCACCCCCACUUCCACCCCUCUGCCCAACCAAUUCAAACCCCAUGUCUGGGCUGGGAAGUGCCAAUCCCAAGCAGCUGCUGGGCUCUGCUGCUGCUCUGGCGCCCUCUCAUGGCCACUCUCUCCAAAAACAACUCGGAGCCCUUCCCCCUGCCUCCUGACCAAACCCAUGCCUGGACUGCCCUCCCUUUGUGCACCUGACAGCCGAUUUCCCUCCUACUCUCACUCUAAGAGCCACCACGUGCCUUACACGAGAGUGUGCGGUGUCUCUCUCAACCUCUCCCAGUUCACUCCUUUCUCCCUGUACAACUGCACUCUUCCACCGCCAUCGGCCAAUCUGACUUCAAGUCAGGCAACCAGCUGGAAAUUCAUCUGCCUGCCUCAAUUCACAUGACCCAGUUUUGGCUACUUUUCAAUCUCCCGGGGGUAACUGCCAGAAAAAACUGGCUUAGGGAGGAAAAAAAAAAAAAAAGGACCUCUGUGGAGAAAUUCCAGAGAUAGAUCCCAGGGAUGAGAAUAGCCUGGCCAGCCACAAACCCCCUUCUACACCCUCCAAUCAGGUCCACGGGCACUGCUUUCCAGAUGCCACAAGGACAACAGCCUGACUCUCGAGGACUGCAUGCCCAAGUUUCAAACCAGGUAUUUUUGGAUUCAAGUCUACACCCUUGGUGAAUCCAAAGGUAUUCAGGCUACGGUUAGCUGGUCCCAUUGUCUGGUCUCAGGGCUCCAUGAACAGUAUGGAAACAACCUCUAGACAUGAAGGAAGAGCUCUGAUCCCAUUGUCAGGAUAUGCAUAGUCGAUCCAAGAGUCAGAAGAAGCCCAUAACUCACCUUCCAUCGCUGGGCUUAUCUUUGGGUUUCCACCAGCGCCAUUGGCAACCCUGGCAUCUCUGAGUCUGGACUUGCCAACACCAAGCAGAAGAUGGGCUCAUUGUUGUCUAGCAGCCAUUAUCCAUACCAGCCCUUCAGAUCCCAUUCUUCUGCCUCCUGACCCCUCCCAGUUCUGUUGGCACUGCUCUUCAGCACUUUGGGCCUGACUUGGUCCUCUCUUCUUCAUCUCUGUCUGUCAGAAAAAUAAGGGCAGCCUUAGGGCUCCAUUACCAGCUCAAGUGAAAGGAAAAUGCAGAACUUUUCAGAGAUCCCUCAAGAGAUUGGUCUCUGGGAUGCACCCAACCUGCCCACCAAAGGACCUCUGCUUUUACACUCUCCACUGAUGAACGCCAGCCCAGCCAUCCCGAGGCCAGUUUGGCCUGGAGAGGCAGUUGCAUGCUAUAGGCAACCUCCGGUGGGACACUCCUGGGGGAUCCACCACCAUCCCCAUCUCCAACCAGGUCUCUGAGCCAAUACAAGCUUCUGCAGAGCUUAGAUGGCGCGUUGGCGCCAUCUAGUGGACAUUCUCUCUAAUGACAACUCAGAGCCCUGCCUCCUGCCUCCUGCCUCCUGCCUCCUGCCCAAACCCAUGGGCUGCCGUGGUCCUGUGCACCAGAAAGAGGAUUUAAUUCCUCCUCUCAAUCUGAGAACAACUAAGAGCUUUUAAGAGGGUGCGUUUUUCCCUCAAUGCCAGCCAUGGCACUCACUCCUCCCAAUCCUUCACUAUUCUCCUUAGUCAGUGAGCUGAGCCUAUUCCGAAUCAGGUAACCAUUUUUAAAGUAAUCAGUCUCCCUUUCUAACUUAAGUGACCUGGCUUUCAGUCAGUGUUUCCUCUCAGGGAGUCAGAUUUUUCCUCUCAGGGCUUAAUGAGAGGAGGGUGAGGCUCACAUGGAAGGAAAAAAAAAAAAACUUUUCAGAGAGACAAGUCUGUGCGUUGGAUGCAUCCUGCCCAACUAGGAACCUCUGCUUUUACAGUCUCCAUGCAGGACCAACAAAGGCCCAGCUUCUCAAACCCCAAACACCAGACAAGGCCAAUCCUGAAACACUCCCUGCCUGAUAUUCACACGAAUUCUUGAACCCGAACUCUUGAGCUGUGGUAAAGUAACCCCGAUCAGCUGCUGGGCUCUGCUGGUACUCUGCCUGCAGCCUACCAGCCAUGGUCUCCAAUGACGAGUCACAAUCCUUCCCCUGCUUCCUGACCAAACCCAUGGAUGGACCACCCUGUCUUGGUGCACCCAACAGCUGGCGUCCAUCCUCCUCCUCUUCUGAGAACUGCCGUGUGCUUGCUUUCCAGAGGGUGGUGUUUCUCUCUCCAAGCCUCCCAGAGCCCUCAUCCUCCUUCUCCCCCUUCCUCUCCCACGCUGUCGUUCUAUGUCCAUCAGCUGAUCCCACUUGCAGUCAGGUCUGCCAGCUGGACUUUCAUCUGCCUUCCUGCCUUAAAACAGGAGACCCCCAUUUCAGCUCAUGUUCUUCCCUCGGGGUGAACCACAGGAAGUUCUAGACAGUGUGCAUAGAAAAAGAAAAGGGAGACCUAGGGGAAAAUUUCCAAGCCAGACCCCAGUGAGGAGGACAGCCCGGCCAGCCACACCCUCUGCUUCCACACACCCUCCAUGCCCGUCCACAAGCUCUGCUUUGCCCCCGCCAUCCCCAACCAAGGCCUGCCUGGAGAAAACUGCAUACCCAACCUUCAGGACAAAUGCCUUUGCCUUCUGGGUUGUGCCGCGGGAACAUCCAAAGGCAUUCAAGACCCCAGACAGCCUUUCAGAGCAUGUGGUCUUUGGGCUUUGGGCUCAGCAGGGAUGAGACCCCUAUUUGAGAAGGAAGAACUCUGUACCCACCCUCAGGAGAAGUAUUUGGGACCCGAGAGUCAGAAGUAACCUGUCACUCACUGUUUACCAGCGGGGCAUGUCCCUGGGGGUUCCGCCAGCGCCCAUCUCCCACUCCAUGUCUGAGGCUGGAAGCACCAACACCAAGCAGCAGAUGGGCCACAGCAGUGCUCUUCAUCCCCUAGCAGCCCAUAGCUCUGCCGACAUUUCAAACUCCAUCCUUCUGCUUCCUGCUGCCACCUGAUUUUGUUUUGCUCGGCCUGUGAGCGCCUGAGUUCCUGCUUUCUUACGUCUCUCUCAGAGUAAUUAAGAGCCUUACGGAGGUGGGUUUUUUUUCUGUUUCAAAGCCUCCCACAGCCCUCACACCCCCUAUCUGUCAGCACUGCUUGAAGUCAAUCACCAGGAAAAACUCCAACUCAGGUGAGCGACUUUCAAUGAUUCUAACACCACCAAGCCUCAGGCAGCCUCUUCGCAGCUCCUUAUUUUAGGUCACCUGGCUUUAGGUUAAGAUUAUCCCCUCAGGGGUGCAUGAAAAGACCAAGUGAUGCUGAUAAAAGAAAAAUGAGUAGGUUUUCAGAGAUCCCUUAAGAGACCAGUCACAGGGAAGGGCACAGCCAGCAAAGGACCUCUGCUUUUACACUCUCCAUUCACAGCCAUUAGCCCAGCCCUCCUGAGGCCAAGCUCCAAGUAAGCCCAACUCUGGAUAACUGCAUGCCGAUACUCAAGCCCAUGGCUUCCUUGUGGUUUAUGAAUUCUGCUUCUGGAGAGACCAGAGGCAGUCAGAACCCUGAGGGGCUGUCCAAUGGUGGGCACUUUGGGCUGCCUGAGCCCCCAGACAGUGACCCAGAGGUGUGAAGUGAGCAACCUAUCCCUUUGACGUGGUGAGCCAGUGGCGGCCAGGCACCUACCCGUCCUUGCCGGAAAUCUGCCGAGGGAGACACCAUCCACAUCUGGAACCAAAUCUGAGCCCAAAAGCGCCAAGCCAACAUGGCUAGUGCUUCAGCACCCUCUUGUGGCCAUUCUCUCUAAUAGCAACGCAGAGCACCCUUCCACCUCCUGAACCAACCCAUGGGAUGCACUGGGCUUGUUACCUGAUUGCUGAUUUCAUUCCUCACCUCCCUCUAAGAACAACCAAGUGCCUAACGGGGGUGGGGGUGGAGGGGAUUCUGUCUCCUGGUCGUCAGGGCAGUCACUCCCCCCUAUACUUCACCACGCCUCUCAUCAAUGCGCCAAGCCCAUUCCAUGUCCAGUAACCAGCUUGAAAUCAAUCAACCUCCACUCUUACUUUGUGCGACUUGGCUUGAGGCGAAUGAAAGAAGGGAGAGGCCCAGAUGGAAGUAAAAAGGCCCUUCUCGAGAACCCUCAAGAGACGGGUCUGUGGGGGAGGGAUGCAGCCUGCCCACCGAGUGAUUCUGGUCUGCUUUGACACUCUCCCUUCAUGACCUCCCAUCAGCUUUCCUGAUGCCAAAGGUCAGGCGAGUCUGAUUCUGGAACACUGCAUGCCCAGUAUUCAAGCCAAGUAACUCUGGCUUGGGAUUUCUGCCUCUGCAGAACCCAAAGGCAGUCAUAAAGGUGACUGCCUGGGAGUGUCCGGAUAUGGUGCUGCAGGAGCUGCCUGAAUGUGACCCACAGAGGUGAAGGCAGAACCGUGUGCUUCUAUCAGGUGAUCUCGUUUUGACCCCAGAGUUGGGGGCAACCUGUAACCUACCCCUGCUCACCAGGCAUGGCCUGGGCAACCACCAUCUCAAAUCCCACCUCUGAGCUGGGAUAAGCUGACACCAGUCAGCUGCUGGGCUCUGCUGGGUCUCUGCUUGCCCUCUGGAGGCCAUGGUCUCUAAUGAGGAUUCAGAGCCCUUCCUCCUGCUUCCUGACCAAACCCAUGGAUGGACCACCCUUGCCUGGUGCACCCAACAGCUGGCAUCCAUCCUACUCUCCCUCUGGGAACCGCCAUGUGCUCACUUACAGAGGGUGGUGUUUCUCUCUCCAAGCCUCCCAGGACUCUUGCCCUCAUUCUCCCCCUCCCUCUCCUAUAGCAUUAUUCUAGAUCCAUCAGCUGAUCCCACUUCAUCAGGUCCACCAACUGGAAAUUCAUCUGCCUUCCUGCCUUAAGACAGGAGACCCCAUUUCAGCUCAUGUUCUUCCCUCAGGGUGAACCACAGGAAGUUCUAGACAGUGUGCAUAGAAAAAGAAAAGGGAGACCUAGGGGAAAAUUUCCAAGCCAGACCCCAGUGAGGAGGACAGCCCGGCCAGCCACACCCUCUGCUUCCACACACCCUCCAUGCCCGUCCACAAGCUCUGCUUUUUCCCCAACCAAGGCCUGCCUGGAGAAAACUGCAUACCCAACCUUCAGGACAAAUGCCUUUGCCUUCUGGGUUGUGCCGCGGGAACAUCCAAAGGCAUUCAAGACCCCAGACAGCCUUUCAGAGCAUGUGGUCUUUGGGCUUUGGGCUCAGCAGGGAUGAGACCCCUAUUUGAGAAGGAAGAACUCUGUACCCACCCUCAGGAGAAGUAUUUGGGACCCGAGAGUCAGAAGUAACCUGUCACUCACUGUUUACCAGCGGGGCAUGUCCCUGGGGGUUCCGCCAGCGCCCAUCUCCCACUCCAUGUCUGAGGCUGGAAGCACCAACACCAAGCAGCAGAUGGGCCACAGCAGUGCUCUUCAUCCCCUAGCAGCCCAUAGCUCUGCCGACAUUUCAAACCCCGUCCUUCUACCUCCCGAUGUCACUUGAUUUUGUUUUGCACAGCUCACCAAUGCCUUUGAUCCUGCUUUCAUACUUCUCUGUCUCUCAGAAAAAUUAAGAGCCUUACGGAGGGGGCAAGCGUUUUCCCUCUCAAAGCCUCCCGCAGCCCUCACUGCUCCCUGUCAGCACUGCUUGAAGUCAAUCACCAGGAAAAACUCCAACUCAGGUUCUGGUGUGAUGUCUUGAAGGCCCUGACCUAGAAGCCUCAGCCUGGGCCUCAGAGGGGCUGGCACUGGUAGUCAGAAGGUUUGCAUCUGGACAAGGAACAGGAUAGACUCACUACUCAUCUAUUAGUAAACAAAUAUAGUGCAAGCUUAGUUUUUUUAUUGUGUAGAUUUAGGAUUAGUUUCUGAUAUAUGUUCUACAAUUGGUAUGUAAGAUUUUUGUAUUAAAUAUUUUUCUAUCAAUUUGCUUUUUAAAUAUUUUUCUAUAAAAUAAAUUGCAUAUGUAGAAAAGCCCCCUAAACUUAGGUAAAACUUAAUGAUUUGGUAUCAGGCAGUUACCUUAGUGUCCACCCCCAAGAUCACCCACUCUCCUAUCAUCCUCAUUUGGAGUUGACUUAAGAAGGGGACUAUGAAUUUAGUACUUUCCAUCUGCCCUAUGUCAGUGUGUUUUUAAGGAUCCUGUUGUCUGAAAUGUGUUAAUUCUUUUGAUCGUGGGAACAUCAUCCUCGAUCCUUCAUGAUGACAUGAAUGUCAGGGUCUUUGACACCCAGUCACUCACCUGAUAUAAAAUCCAUGACUCACCAUUUCUCUCCUCAGUGUCUCUAACAUAUUGCUCUUAAUUUCUUCUGGGACAGCCUAUUCACUCUAUACGUGAUCAAAAUAUCAUUUUUCUUCCCUUAUGUGUUUCUUGCUCUUUUAUUCUGGAUGCCCAAAGGAUUUUUUUCUUUAAAGAUCAGUAGUUUUAUAAUUUGCUCUUAGUCAUUGCAAGUCAAUGUUCAUUUUCUCUUUAAUACAAAACUUCAAAGGUUUUUCAUAUUGAAAAAAAUUUGCGCAAUAUUAUUCUCUGUGUAUCCUUGCUGUGGUUUUUCUGUUUCAGGUCCCUCAGUCCUUCAAAUAUCAGAUUUCUUAUGAUUAUACUUCACUUUUGACACAAUCAUUAACAAUUAAUAAUUUCUUUCUUUUUUGUCUUUUUAGUGUCACACAUGCAGCAUAUAGAAGUUCCCAGGCUAGGGGUCAAAGUGGAACUGUAGUUGCCGGCCUGUGCCACAGACACAGUAACACAGCAUCCAAGUUGUGUUUGUGACCUACACCAGAGCUCACAGCAAUGCCGGAUCCUUAACCCAGUGAGCAAGGCCAGGGAUUGAGCCUGCAUCAUCACAGAUACUAGUCAGGUUCAUUACCCCUGAGCCACGAUGGGAACUCCUAGAAUUUGUUGAUUAAUUUCAUUCCCAGGAGUGUUUUAAAACAGUGUUUAAACUUACCUCCUUUGGAGUUCCUGUCGUGGAGCAGCGUAAUCAAAUCUGACUAGGAACCAUGAGGUUGCGGGUUUGAUCUAUGGCCUUGCUCAGCAGGUUAAGGAUCUGACAUUGCCGUGAGUUGUAGUAUAGGUCACAGACGAGGUUCAGAUCUCAUGUUGCUGUGGCUAUUCCCAUGUUACUGUGGCUGUGAGGCAGGCCAGCAAAAAAGGAAUAUUCACUAGUAGCUAUUGCAUGAGGUGAAAUGUAAAUUGGAUGCAUUAUUAGGCAAUAUUGUAUGUAAUAUAUCUUAAGAAUGGAGUAUCCUCAAAAAAAAAAAAAAAAAAAA